GAUGAAGAACGUAGCGAAAUGCGAUACGUAAUGUGAAUUGCAGAAUUCAGUGAAUCAUCGAGUCUUUGAACGCACAUUGCGCCCCCUGGUAUUCCGGGGGGCAUGCCUGUCCGAGCGUCAUUGCUGCCCUCAAGCACGGCUUGUGUGUUGGGCCUCCGUCCUCCUCCCGGGGGACGGGCCCGAAAGGCAGCGGCGGCACCGCGUCCGGUCCUCGAGCGUAUGGGGCUUCGUCACCCGCUCUUGUAGGCCCGGCCGGCGCUUGCCGACACAUCAAUCUUUUUUCCAGGUUGACCUCGGAUCAGGUAGGGAUACCCGGUGAACUUAAGCAUAUCAAAAGCGGAGGA
rnacentral:misc_RNA from 1 species